rnacentral:rRNA from 1 species
GACGAACGCUGGCGGCGUGCUUACACAUGCAAGUCGAACGGAAAGGCCCUGCUUUUGUGGGGUGCUCGAGUGGCGAACGGGUGAGUAACACGUGAGUAACCUGCCCUUGACUUUGGGAUAACUUCAGGAAACUGGGGCUAAUACCGGAUAGGAGCUCCUGCUGCAUGGUGGGGGUUGGAAAGUUUCGGCGGUUGGGGAUGGACUCGCGGCUUAUCAGCUUGUUGGUGGGGUAGUGGCUUACCAAGGCUUUGACGGGUAGCCGGCCUGAGAGGGUGACCGGCCACAUUGGGACUGAGAUACGGCCCAGACUCCUACGGGAGGCAGCAGUGGGGAAUAUUGCACAAUGGGCGGAAGCCUGAUGCAGCAACGCCGCGUGCGGGAUGACGGCCUUCGGGUUGUAAACCGCUUUCGCCUGUGACGAAGCGUGAGUGACGGUAAUGGGUAAAGAAGCACCGGCUAACUACGUG